rnacentral:rRNA from 1 species
AGCAUAAAAGUAGCAAUACUUUGGUGGCGACCGGCGCACGGGUGAGUAACGCGUAUGCAACCUACCUAUCAGAGGGGAAUAACCCGGCGAAAGUCGGACUAAUACCGCAUAAAACAGGGACACCGCAUGGUGAUAUUUGUUAAAGAAAUUCGCUGAUAGAUGGGCAUGCGUUCCAUUAGGUAGUUGGUGAGGUAACGGCUCACCAAGCCGACGAUGGAUAGGGGAACUGAGAGGUUGGUCCCCCACACUGGUACUGAGACACGGACCAGACUCCUACGGGAGGCAGCAGUGAGGAAUAUUGGUCAAUGGGCGAGAGCCUGAACCAGCCAAGUCGCGUGAAGGAAGAAGGAUCUAUGGUUCGUAAACUUCUUUUGCAGGGGAAUAAAGUGCAGGACGUGUCCUGUUUUGUAUGUACCCUGAGAAUAAGGAUCGGCUAACUCCGUGCCAGCAGCCGCGGUAAUACGGAGGAUCCGAGCGUUAUCCGGAUUUAUUGGGUUUAAAGGGUGCGUAGGUGGUUUGAUAAGUCAGCGGUGAAAGUUUGCAGCUUAACUGUAAAAAUGCCGUUGAAACUGUCGGACUUGAGUGUAAAUGAGGUAGGCGGAAUGCGUGGUGUAGCGGUGAAAUGCAUAGAUAUCACGCAGAACUCCGAUUGCGAAGGCAGCUUACUAAGCUACAACUGACACUGAAGCACGAAAGCGUGGGGAUCAAACAGGAUUAGAUACCCUGGUAGUCCACGCAGUAAACGAUGAUUACUAGCUGUUUGCGAUACACAGUAAGCGGCACAGCGAAAGCGUUAAGUA